GUUUAUUUAAAAGGCUGUAGAGCAGGGAAGAAAGGAAAGGAGAGAAUGCUUGGAAGAGACCCAAGCUGGCACCAAGAUCAAGUGCCCUGUUUAACAGUGAUGCUAGGACUUUAUAGGAUGGCACUUUUCCCACGAUUCUUUCCUUAGGGUGGGCUGCCCGCACACUCAGUGCCUCCCUUACCCUUGGGAAGUGAGCACCCGCUGUGUGCUUAGGAAGCUGUGCACAUGCCCAUUUUUAAAACUUAAACCACAGGCUUUAUUCCGACUUGACUUUUCCCACCAACAUUUUUCCAUUCCAGAAUUUCAUCCAGGACAUCACAUUGCAUUUCGUUUUUUGCCUCCUGAGUCUUCUCCAGUCUGUGACAGUUUCUCAUCUUUUGUUGUUUUUCAUGACCUUGAAGGCCCCUGGUCAGGUAUUUUGUAGGAGGUUCCUCAAUUUGGGUUUGUCUGAGGUUUAAACGCACAAUUACACUGGGUUUCUGGGUUUUGAGGAGAGCACACUAGCAGUUUUUUUUUUUUCUCAUCGUUUCAUAUCAUGGAGUAUAUGGUAUAAUAUGAUUAAUCACUAGGGAUCUCAACCCUGAUCUCUUUGGUAAGAUGGUAUGUGCCAGUUUCUCUACUAUAAGGUUACUCUUUUUCCCUUUUCAUAUGACAUUGUUUGGAAAUGAGUCACUAAGUUCAGCCUACAUUCAAAGGAAGAGAAAUUAAGCUCCACCUCCUGGAGGGGUUACUAUCUACAUGUAUAAUUUGUAAUUCUUUUGCAAGGAAAAGCUGUUCCUUCUCCCAAUUUAGUUACUUAUUUUAUCAUGUAUUUCUGGAAGUAUGGACUCAUGGAUAUUUAUUUAAUACUUUGGGUUAUAAUAUAAUACUGUAUUACUUAUUUUAUUGCUCAAAUGAUCAUAUGUGACGUCUCUCAGGGUGACUGUUGUGUUCCUUUGCCAUGCUCUCCUUUUUUGUUGGGGAGGAGGGCCAAGCCAUUUUACUAAGGAGAAUGGAAAGGGAGACAAAGAAGCGCUGAUGACAGUGAGAUCUGACAUCCUUGGCUGGGCCAGAAUCUUAAAGGCUUUGCAGUUGCAGAACUAUUCCUGUUUUUUAAAGUUUCACUCUCACCUCAUAGAUGAAAAAUGCUUCAGAAUAUAGUUAUAACUGUGAAAAGACUGUUCCUGAUGUUAUGAUUUGCUCACUGUGAAGCUUUUCAUGCACUACAGACAAAUGUUGGAAAGUCUGUCUCAACUUCAAGGGCAGUGAAUUCUGAAAGUUAAUGUGGACACAAGAGUUUCUUCUCAGAUUUCCUCCUCUGCUGCAUUUUUUUUUUGAGUUAUCUUCUUUUCUGGUAUGAAAUUGUAAAUCAAGUAAGUCAGAUAUAAAAAUAUUUGCAAACAGUCAAAAUCAACUCUAAAAGUGAUGUAGUGAAACUCAAGCUUUAAAAUUGUUCCUUGAAGAGCAGCACACAAAAAUUGUGUAGAAAAUUAUUAACUAUGUAACAACAACAAAAAGGUCAAUGACAUUUAGACAGAAAAAAAAAAGAAAUUUCUGGGAAGAAUAUUAGGGAAAAGAACAACAACUGCUGGCCUUGCAGCAGCAGAAGGAAUUGCAGGGUGUGUUGAAUAUUUUGAUUAUUUCCACCAGGAACUAGAUACUUGUAAAGCGGUGGAUUAAGCAUUCUCAAGUUCCUUAAUGUUUAGCCCAUUUUCUCAUAUUCUUUUAGCAGAGAAGAAAAACUUUAGAAGCUUUCACCCAGUGUAAUAGAAACUUAUGAUGAAUUUUCUGGUGAAAAUAUCUUAGGGGAAUUUCUUCUAUUGCAGAGAUGUUUGAAAACUAUUAUAAUCCAUCCUGAAGAAAGAAAAACAUGAACAGUAUUUCAAUUUCUGGAGCUUAUUGUAAAAUGUGAUUUUUAUGAAUCUCUGAAAAACUCAUCCUCGUACUUAAGACUUUUUCCAAGUCUUCAUACAUCUAUGACUCCACAUGAAAAAAACUUUUCAAAAUUAAAAUUUAAGAAGUUUUUCAAUUCGAGUGAAGAAAGCUGAUAAAUUCUCUUAAAUAUCCAUAGAAUGUGAAUAUACAAAAAUUAAUUUUUGUAAAUAUGCAGAAGUUACAGAUCAAAAGCAGAUACUAUAAUAUAAUUCGCAGUGGUUUAAGACCAAUAUGUAGGUGUAAGUUUCCCUUGUUUUCCCAAAAAACACAUUAGUGCAAUUAAAAAGAAUUUAUCGCUUUUUGUCUUUAAAAUUUUUUAAAUUUAUCCCAAUAAAUAUAAAUUUUGAGGGUAUAUCUGCUAAUUUAAUACCUUUAUAUAAUUUGUAAAGAUAAAAUCACUGUAACUAGAAUACCCAUCACCUUAAAUAUUGGUCUUUUCUUUAUGCUAGAAACAUUCAAAUUAUUCCCUUCUGACUAUUUUGAAAUAUUUAAUAGAUGAUUGUAAACUAUGCUAACCCUACUGAUCUAUCAAUCACUAGGUUUUAUUUAUUCUAACAAAUUGUAUAUUUGUCCCCAUUAGUCAAACCUUUCUUCAUCCUCCCCUUCCCUCUACCCUUCCCAGCCUCCAGUAAUCACCAAUCUACUCUAUAUCUUCAUGAGAUCCACUUUUUUUUAGCUCCCACAUAUGAGUGAGGCUAUGCAAUAUUUUUUUAAUUUCCUUCUUAAUUUCUUCAUAGACCCAUUGGUCAUUCAGAACCGUGUUGUUUAAUUUCCAUGCGUUUGUGUGCUUUCCAAAGUUUCUUUUGCUAUUAAUUUUUAGUUUUAUCCUAUUGUGGUCUGAAAAGAUACUUGGUAUGAUUUAUACAUUUUUGAAUUUGUUGAUACUUUUUUUGUGGCUAUUCUGGACUUUUGGGGUCUAUUCUGGACCUCUACAUGCCAGUGUUUUUAUUUUUAUGAAUCUAUUAUAGAUUUUGCAUUGUAGUUACUAUGUGGCUUACAAAAACCAACUUAUACAUGUAAAAAUUUAUUUCAAAGAGGUGAAAACUUAUCUUAGAUCACACAGAAAAGAAUAGAAAAAAUGAAAAAAGCCUAUAUACUUCAUCCCCCAGUUUUGACUUUAUAUUGUCUCAAUUUUCAUAUUUUUAUACUGCCUAUUUCUUAACAGGUUGCUGUAUCUAUUAUUGUUUUGAUAGACUUGUCUUUCUUUCUUCAUACUAGAAUUAUGAAUGGAUUGCUCACCAUAAUUGCAGUGUUAGCAUAUUCUUGGUUUUCCGUGUACUUAAUUCUAUCAGUGUGUGUUAUACUUCCAAAUGUUUUCUUUUUUCACUGAAGUGUUUUUAUUUAUUUUAGAUUGAAGAACACCUUUUAGCAUUUCUUGUAAGAUGGGUCUCUUGGUGAAUUCUCUCAGCUUUUGUUUGAGAUAUCUCAUUCAUAUUUGAAGGAUUGCUUUGCUGGAUACAGUAUUCUUGAAUGGAAGCGUUUUUUCUUUCAGAACUUUGAAAAUGUCACCCCACUGUUUCCUGGUCUGUAUAGCUUUCAUUAAGAAGUCUGUUGCCCAAUGAAUUGGAGUUUCUUUGUACAUUGUUGAUUUUGUCUUGCUGCUUUUAGGAUCCUCUCUUUUUCUUUGGCUUAUGAUAAUUUGAUUGUUAUAUGCCUUGGAGUAGUUGUAUUUGGAUUGAAUCUGUUUUGCGUUUGCUGACCUUUCUAAAGCUGGAUAUUUAUCCCUUUCUUAAGUUUUGGAAAGUUUUCUGUUAUUAUUUUUUUGAAUAAGCUUUCUAUCCCUUGCUCUUGCUCAACUCCCUCUUGAAUACCACUAAUUAUUAGUUUUGAUCUUUUCAGGUAAUUUUCUAUAUCUUGUAGCCAAUCUUCAUUUGUUUUCAUUAUUUUUUCUCUUCUGACUAUUUAUUUUCAAAUGGUCUGUCAUAGAGCUCAUUGAUUAUUUCUUCUCCUUGACCUGAUCUGCUGAGAGCCUCUAAUGAAUUUUCCAUUUCGGCAAAUGAAUUUCUCAGUUCCAAGAUUUCUGUUUGACUUUUUAUUAUGAUUAUUUCAAUCAUUUAGUUAAAUUUCUCUGAUAAGUUUCUGAAUUGCUUUUCUGUGUUAUCCUGAAUAUCACUGAGUUUCCUUAAAACUGCCAUUUUGAAUUCUUGGUCAGAGAGUUCACAUAUCACCAUUUCAUUAGGGUCAGUUGCCAGUUCCUUGCUUUGUCCAUUUAGGAGAGAUCAUGGUUCUCUGCUAUUGUUUCUGUUGGAUGUACAUCUGUGUCUUUUCAUUGAAGAAUUAGUUAUUUAUUCUAGUCUUCUCUGACAUUUUUGUUUUUUAUUGGAUAUGUUUUCUUAGAGAUCCUUUAUAAUUUACCUUUUGAUAUUUUUUCUUUUUUUCCCCUACUAGGUUGCUGCUCCCUUUUCAGCAGUAGAUGACACCUUAAGACCAAGUUUGCCUUGGUUCUAGUAAGCAAUCAGAGUACCACCUAUCUCAAAUCAGAAGGUUUCAAAGGGGAUAUCCCAGUAGUAUGAGAAGGCUGGGGGUUCAUGCCCAGAGGACCUGUGAAACAAACCUCUUACAGCAUCAUGCUACUGAAGAGCCACUCUGAUUUAGUGUUUUAGUUGGCCAAAUUACAGAGCAAAAUUUUCAGGCCUAGGGAUGGUAGUUCCACCUUCCCUCUUUGUCUCUGGCUGUUCUCAGGGAUAUUUCUCCCUUCAGACACUACUGAUAGUUUCUGUGGGCAAAAGGGAAAGGUCUCCUACUAGGGUGCCCUGAAUGGUGGGGAAGCUGAUUGUCCACCUUGAUGUCACUUUUUUCAGUGUAGAGACUGUAUGUUGAGGGAAAAUUUUCCACAUGCUUUGUGAUGGGCAGAUUGGGUGGAGGGGCAUUAUGAAUAUGGAAGUCUGAUUCCCUUACUGUCUGCUUAAAAUUUGUUCAAUUCUCUGUGAUUCCAGGAACUGUCUCAUUCUCAUCUGAGUCCUGGAAUACUACUGGUGAUAAUCUUGGCACUGUGUAUUUGUUUCUGGGUUUCUGUGGGGAGGAGGUAAUGAGGCCAACUUGUUUCUACACCACCAUUUUGGAAUGGGAAGCUUUCAUUUAAGUUGUAAUACUUAUUUUACUUUUUAUUUUUAACUGGAAUGAUAUAUACAUAGAUGAGGUUCAGUAAAACUUUUUUUUAACUGACUGUAAACAUUUUUACUGACCGUGUUUUACUGACUGUGCUUUUUAAUGACUGUGAACAUUUUUACUGUGUUUAUUUUCCACCAUCAUUAAUAUAUGUUUCAUUACAUAAUUACUACUGAAAAGAAUUUUGUCACAUAAGGGAUGUGAUAAACCAUUAUCUGCUUGGGUUUCAAAUGUGUUAUGGAUAACACUGCUGAACCAAAGCAUAACUUUUGAAAGAGGAAGUACAUGGGAUCAUCAUAAUAAAUAAUACAGUGUCCUGAGUGAUGAGCUUUCUAUUAUGCUACAGGAAGAAUUUCAUUAAAAAUAAUAAUAGAAAAACAUUUAAAAAUUUUACCAUUUUAUUAACAUUCUAUAUUUUUCUACUCCGUUAAAAUGCAGAAGUCAGAAAAUGGAACAUUUCCCUUUCACUAUUUCUGCCAUUAAAAAAAUAGUACAUUUUCUUGAUUGUUUGUCAUCUUAAACUACCUUUAUCCUUUUGCAAGGUAGACUCUUCAGUAUCUUUUUUAAUCACAACAGAUUAGAAUAUAUACGAUGGUACUUCGGAAUAUAUGAAUUACAUUUUAAUUUCUGAAUGUUUAUCUUAUUUAAUGUCAAAUAUAUAUAUGUGUGUGUGUGUGGGUGUGUAUGUAUAGUACUUGUAUGGCUUAAGGCUUCAAAUGCUACUCAAAAUAGUAUCCACACUAAAUCAUUUUCUCUGAAAACACUCCUUCCUGUGUUUUGAGCUGGGCUCUGGGUAAACAAAAAAAGGAGUAAAGCUUAAUAAUGUUUCCUGUAUCUCCAGUCUGCUGGCCUUCUCGUUCAACCAAGAACUUUGAUUUGCAGAUUUGGUGUUAACAGCCUUUGUAACAUUGUCCUCGUUUUGAGGAAAUUAUUAAAUCUUUAUCAACCUUUGUAAUUGGGUAGGCAUGUUAACCUAAAUGGAUAGGAAUUUUGAUAGUGGCUCAUUAGUUUAUUUAAUAAAAGUGUUUAAAGCUA